GUCUACUACACCUGUUGUAUUCAGCAUUUCACCCUAAGGUCUCUACACCUGUUGUAUUCAGCAUUUCACCCUAAGGUCUCUACACCUGUUGUAUUCAGCAUUUCACCCUGAGGUCUACUACACCUGUUGUAUUCAGCA